GUGCUUGCUUUAGCAACACAUAUACUAAAAUUGGAACAAUACAAAGAAGACUAGUACAGCCCCUGCACAAGGAUGAUACACAAAUUCUUGAAGUGUUCUGUAUUUUU
ensembl:snRNA U6 U6 spliceosomal RNA